rnacentral:lncRNA from 1 species
AGCUUGUAAAAUUCGAAUUCCAAAGGAAAAUUAAUAAGGUGGAUGCGAGUUUUGUAUCAUUAGUACUUUUUAAAGUAUUUUCCAUAUCAAUAUGCUCCUCAAGUUUUCUCAAAUGAAUUAUUUAAAUUUAUAAGAAUAAAAAUGGGUCCAAUAACGGUAGUGGACAAAGCCACACCUGAUGAUUCGUGCACUCUUACUAUUCUGCAAUUUCAAAGAAAAAGGGUAGAACAGUCUACCAAACAAAGCAAAAAAAGAAUAUAUCAAUAACAUGUAACUGAAAAUCAUACCUUGCAGCUUAAGUGUGUGGACGAUGAUAACACCAAAUGGUGGCCUUAAGUCUUGAAUAAUGGCCCCAGAGUGAUCAAAGUAAGAUAAAUUUGGCCUUCUUCUGGAAGAUUCCUUGCUCAAAGGCUCCUAGAGAUUUCACUGUCUGCAGCCAAAAUAGGAGGAGGACACAACGAUAUACUCCCAAUAAGGUGACUUAGACAUAUCAUCAAAUACCAUGGCUACAAGGUCCACAUAAAAAUUACAGUUACUUCUGAUACCUUGAAUUUUUGGUAACAAAGACAAAAUACAUCAAAAAGACAAUGCAUGUGUAAAUCAGGUACGAUUACUAACAUGCAAUAGAAAUUAUCUAAAAACUAUAUUCAAAAGAAUUAUCAAUAGCAAUACCGCAAGACCGUGAAAACCGAAUCAGUGCUCAUCGGAGUCGUCCUGAAUCUUGGAGGUGCGAUCCACAAGUGUGUGCAGACCAAUUUUUCAAAAACAGCAUGUAGCAUCUCUUUUUCUGAGAGAAAAGUAACAGAAACAGAAACCAUAGAGUAAGAAGAAAGAAAGAGAUCGGGAAAUAGAGGACAAGUAUAGGCCAGAUGUCCCAAAUAAGUAGACAUGGGUCGUCCCAAAGAAGAGAAAUAUAUGACUGCAACUGAA